GCACUUUAAGCAGUGAAGAAGACUCUUCGGUUAAUACCCGGAGACGAUGACAUUAGCUGCAGAAUAAGCACCGGCUAACUCUGUGCCAGCAGCCGCGGUAAUACAGAGGGUGCAAGCGUUAAUCGGAAUUACUGGGCGUAAAGGGAGCGUAGGUGGCUCUAUAAGUCAGAUGUGAAAUCCCCGGGCUCAACCUGGGAACUGCAUCUGAAACUGUAGAGCUAGAGUAGGUGAGAGGGAGGUAGAAUUUCAGGUGUAGCGGUGAAAUGCGUAGAGAUCUGAAGGAAUACCGAUGGCGAAGGCAGCCUCCUGGCAUAAUACUGACACUGAGACUCGAAAGCGUGGGUAGCAAACAGGAUUAGAUACCCUGGUAGUCCACGCCGUAAACGAUGUCUACUAGUCGUUGG
rnacentral:rRNA from 1 species